AGCGAACGCUAGCGGCGGGCUUAACACAUGCAAGUCGAGCGGAGGGGCAACCCUUAGCGGCGGACGGGUGAGUAACACGUAGGUAACGUAUCCUCUGGUGGGGAAUAACCGUGGGAAACCAUGGCUAAUACCGCAUAUCGUAUGAAAGUAUGAAGACCUUCGGCGCCAGUUGAGCGGCCUGCGGCCCAUUAGUUAGUUGGCGGGGUAACGGGCCCACCAAGACGAUGAUGGGUAGCUGGUCUGAGAGGAUGAUCAGCCACACUGGAACUGAGACACGGUCCAGACUCCUACGGGAGGCAGCAGUGGGGAAUAUUGCGCAAUGGGCGAAAAGCCUGACGCAGCCACGCCGCGUGAGUGAUG
rnacentral:rRNA from 1 species